AUUGAACGCUGGCGGAAUGCUUUACACAUGCAAGUCGAACGGCAGCACGGGGGCAGCCCUGGUGGCGAGUGGCGAACGGGUGAGUAAUACAUCGGAACGUGCCCUGUCGUGGGGGAUAACUUAGCGAAAGUUACGCUAAUACCGCAUACGCUCUGAGGAUGAAAGCGGGGGACCUUCGGGCCUCGCGCGAUCGGAGCGGCCGAUGUCAGAUUAGGUAGUUGGUGGGGUAAAGGCCUACCAAGCCGACGAUCUGUAGCUGGUCUGAGAGGACGACCAGCCACACUGGGACUGAGACACGGCCCAGACUCCUACGGGAGGCAGCAGUGGGGAAUUUUGGACAAUGGGCGCAAGCCUGAUCCAGCCAUUCCGCGUGCAGGACGAAGGCCUUCGGGUUGUAAACUGCUUUUGUACGGAACGAAAAGGCUCUGGCUAAUACCUGGGGCUCAUGACGGUACCGUAAGAAUAAGCACCGGCUAACUACGUG
rnacentral:rRNA from 1 species